UUGGAAUUUUUACAAUUUUGCCAAACGAAAAAAUACGUAAUCACCCGAGGAAAACCAGAGGAUCUGGUGAAAAACCUUGGUGAUUACGAGUCCGGAUACCGAAUACCCCGGGGGCAACCCUGCGUGACCGAAUUAACUAUAAUAUAUACCAUACCUACAAAUACCUACCAAAAUCCAGGAAAGUAAAAAUCUUGCACAAAAGAACUCAAAAAAAAAUCUCACGAGAUGUAAAAAAAAAACACAUUGUAGACCACCCGAAAAUUCAGUCUACAGAUUGCGCAAGACAAAUAUAUCACUUUUUAUGAACAAAUUGUUCCAUGCACAUAAGGGUAUAUUCAUCUGAACCUUGAAACCUGAAAAUAUUUCAGAUAUGUUCAGGACAAGGUGCGUGGCAAAUGAAUCCAAUGGCCCAACAUAUUUUACGA